UUUUUCGAGGCAUUGGUAUAUGAUAGCGAUCGAGCGGUGCGCGUUGCGCGACGCUCCCCGCUUCUCCUCCCUGAGCGGGUGCCUGUCGUUAUUCGAUAAGGCUGUUUGACCCGCCGUUUGACGGCGGGUUUUUUUAUGCGCGGAUCGAAGCGGCAGGCCC
rnacentral:ncRNA from 18 species